UAUUUCACAAACCGCCUGGACAUGUCCCAGAAUGUGUCCUUGGUCACUGCUGAACUGAGCAAGGACGCCCAGGCGUCAGCCGCCCCUGCAGCACCCUUGCCUGAGCGGAACCCUCUCAGUGCCAUCUUCAACAAUGUCAUGACCCUAUGUGCCAUGCUGCCCCUGCUGUUAUUCACCUACCUCAACUCCUUCCUGCAUCAGAGGAUCCCCCAGUCCGUACGGAUCCUGGGCAGCCUGGUGGCCAUCCUGCUGGUGUUUCUGAUCACUGCCAUCCUGGUGAAGGUGCAGCUGGAUGCUCUGCCCUUCUUUGUCAUCACCAUGAUCAAGAUCGUGCUCAUUAAUUGUAAGCUGGGCCAGGAGGGGGCCUGUGGGAGGAGGCGUGCCCAACUACCCCCACUCUUUUUUCAGACCCACUGUUAGCCAGAGAGAAGCCCAGCCUCCGCCUGGAGGGAGUGGAUGCUGUGAGCAGUUGGGAUUCAGAGGCCUGAGUGGGCCUGGACCAGGGCUGGGAGGGGGCAGAGAGAAGGGCAGCUCAGCCUCAAGCCUCACCGAGAGUAAAGUAGGAAUGACAGGGACCUGUCUUCUUGGGCACCCCCAACGGCCAGCCCUAGCUCCCCUGCUCAUGCCCACCCUGUUUCCCCAGCAUUUGGUGCCAUCCUGCAGGGCAGCCUGUUUGGUCUGGCUGGCCUUCUGCCUGCCAGCUACACGGCCCCCAUCAUGAGUGGCCAGGGCCUAGCAGGCUUCUUUGCCUCCGUGGCCAUGAUCUGCGCUAUUGCCAGUGGCUCGGAGCUAUCAGAAAGUGCCUUCGGCUACUUUAUCACAGCCUGUGCUGUUAUUAUUUUGACCAUCAUCUGUUACCUGGGCCUGCCCCGCCUGGAAUUCUACCGCUACUACCAGCAGCUCAAGCUCGAAGGACCCGGGGAGCAGGAGACCAAGUUGGACCUCAUUACCAAAGGAGAGGAGCCAAGAGCAGGCAAAGAGGAGUCCGGAGUUUCAGUCUCCAACUCUCAGCCCACCAACGAAAGCCACUCUAUCAAAGCCAUCCUGAAAAAUAUCUCAGUCCUGGCUUUCUCUGUCUGCUUCAUCUUCACUAUCACCAUUGGGAUGUUUCCAGCCGUGACUGUUGAGGUCAAGUCAAGCAUCGCAGGCAGCAGCACCUGGGAACGUUACUUCAUUCCUGUGUCCUGUUUCUUGACUUUCAAUAUCUUUGACUGGUUGGGCCGGA
rnacentral:sRNA from 1 species